rnacentral:rRNA from 1 species
ACGAACGCUGGCGGCGUGCUUAACACAUGCAAGUCGAACGGUAAGGCCCCUUCGGGGGUACACGAGUGGCGAACGGGUGAGUAACACGUGAGCAACCUGCCCUUGACUCUGGAAUAACAGUUGGAAACAGCUGCUAAUACUGGAUAUUCAUCGUCUCCUUCCUGGGGGGUGGUGGAAAGCUCCGGCGGUCAGGGAUGGGCUCGCGGCCUAUCAGCUUGUUGGUGAGGUAAUGGCUCACCAAGGCUUCGACGGGUAGCCGGCCUGAGAGGGCGACCGGCCACACUGGGACUGAGAUACGGCCCAGACUCCUACGGGAGGCAACAGUGGGGAAUAUUGCACAAUGGGCGCAAGCCUGAUGCAGCAACGCCGCGUGCGGGAUGACGGCCUUCGGGUUGUAAACCGCUUUCAGUAGGGACGAAGGGUGACUGACGGUACCUACAGAAGAAGGACCGGCUAACUACGU